GGAGAGGUGACCGAGCUGGCCGAUGGUGCUCGCCUGCUAAGCGAGUGUGGGGGUUAAACUCCACCGAGGGUUCGAAUCCCUCCCUCUCCGCCA
rnacentral:tRNA from 1 species